rnacentral:lncRNA from 1 species
CGUGUACGUAACUUAAGAAGGUUCCUAGGCCCAUUUUCAACAUUUUCUGAAAGGUGGAAUGGUCUAAAAAGAACCCAGGUUAAAUAAGCGAUUACAUUCUCAUAUUGGUCAUUCCGGUCCCCGUGGGGGGUCCACGACCUCUGAUUAAUAAUCCGAGAGUUCCUAUAGGUUCAACACAAUUUACUAAACAUGCCUUGCAAGUUUGGUCCGAAUCAAACGGUCGGAUCACUUGCGAUCACACGAUCGGACGAUUACCAUUUACCCCAACUUUGAAUUAUUGAAUCGGAGUAUCCGGGAUUCCGAUUCUCGAUCCGCGAAUUUUUGCACGAUUCUAGAGGUGUCUAUAUUAACAUAUUUGAAAAUGAAAUUGAUCCAAUAGUCCAAACAUAUUGAAUCCGGAUAACGCCUAAUAUGUGAUAUCCGAUCGACAGUCAAAUAGUAACCAAAAUGAAAUCCGAAUAUACCAUCGUGCUUGGGACGAAGUGGGGAUCAUUUUAGGGCCAAAACCCAACCUUGACACCUUGCCACCUCCGGUGAGUGUGUAGAGAAAUUUUUUGGCAAUCGGAAAAUUCCAAACCGCCGGCCAAUAUUCAUACUUACAGAUCAAGCACAUCAAGGGGAGUAACUUUAUACCUUUGCUCAAACAUGAAUUCCACCUUUAAAGCCCUCGAACGAACGAUUUCCUCGUUUGAAAAACCUAGAAAGUUCUUGGUUUGGAUUCAUCAAUUCUACUUGAAAUUGGGUCGGGUCUUUGAGGGAAAUUAUAGAGCAAAAGGUAGGGGAGUGUUUUAGAAUUAAUUUGGUGGUUGGUGGUGGCCGGAGUUGCCCAGAAAUGGUGUCGGUGCUCACGGUUUGAAACAACCUAUUUUUGGGCUUCACUUUGGCACGAUUUUUG